ACAGAAUUUUCAUGAGAUUUUUUUCCUUUUUUUACAGUGCAUGAUUGUUCUACUAAUAGAUCCUGAUGUCACUACGUGAGGAAAAAUCUGCUCUUUUGUGUGUAAAUAUGUACAAAUGUCGACCUCCUGAAUCAUCUCUAAUGGAAUAAAGGUUCAACAGGAAGUAAAUAUUUAUGAAAAUAGGCAGAAACUGUUCACAAGUGAAGAAUGAGCCCAAAUAAAUCCAUCAGUGUCCAUGAUGUCCAUGCCUUUGUAGAGUAAAGCAUCGUUGGUGUCCACAGGGGAGACUGAUGAAAUCAUCCUUAUGUGCUGCAGAGUGUUUCACAGCUGGAACGGUGAACACAUGUGAGGACAAAACGGGAAUUCGUUGGCAUUUUCCACUCAGCUGAAGAGGAACCUUUACAUCCCUCCUGCAGACGGAUCAUUGGAGCCGCCGGACAAAGAGGCGUUUGUGUCCUACCUGGGGUUUUGUCCUGCAGGGAGAAGCCGAUCCACAGCAGGAAGCAGGUCCAGGUUUUCCUCCUUGGAUCUCUCUGGGUGGUUCUGGCAUCACACAGAUACAAGAGAGAGAGGGAAAAAAAGCAUAAUUAGAGGCACAUUCCUGCCGAUGUGGACACAGGAAGGUAGAACGUGACG